rnacentral:tRNA from 1 species
GAUUAAAUGGCUGAAGUUUAGGCAAUAGAUUGUAAAUCUAUUUAUAAGAAGUUUUUCUUUUUAAUCA